CUCACCUGGGAACACCAACUAGACCACACAGCCCUGCCUCUAAGUAUGGCUUAUGGCCCCAAAUCUCCGCAGAAUGAAGGCUCGCCGGGGGCGACACACAGGACCACGGGAUGUGCUGUGGGGGAAGGAGGGUCCAGGUGUGCCUGUGCCCUUGGCUGAACCCCGAGCCAUUGCAGACCUCAGUCUUCCCGCCUGCAAAAUGGGCAGGCCUCCCAAGGGCGCUGGGUUAUAUAAGCCGAGAGUGAGGCUGGAGAGCAGUUGCUGUGUCCCAGUGACCCAUUAUGCAACCGCAUGUCUGGUUUAAGGAAACACACUCUCUCCCCGCUGAAGGCCAACUAGCUCACCAUCAACCCGGAGCCCUGCAGGAAGCAGGAGAAAGGCCACAGAGGAGGAGGAAGGGACCAGGGAGCAGUGCACCUGUGACUAAGACUUGUUUCUCGGUGGGACGGGCCGAGCUCUGCGUGUGCACCUCCACUCCUGAGAAGCGGCAGGGACGAGACCAGUGAGAGGGCACCCGCAGGCUCUGAAAGUCAAGCAAGGGUACGGCUCAUCAGAACCAGCGCGUGCACGGUCUCUCCAAUCCCAGAGCAGCUUUGGCCCCUGACGAUGUAACACAGGUACGUG